rnacentral:rRNA from 1 species
ACGAACGCUGGCGGCGUGCUUAACACAUGCAAGUCGAACGGAAAGGCCCCUUUGGGGUACUCGAGUGGCGAACGGGUGAGUAACACGUGAGUAACCUGCCCUUGACUUCGGGAUAACUUCAGGAAACUGGGGCUAAUACCGGAUAGGAAUCCUUGCUGCAUGGUGGGGGGUGGAAAGCUUCGGCGGUUUUGGAUGGACUCGCGGCUUAUCAGCUUGUUGGUGGGGUAGUGGCUUACCAAGGCUUUGACGGGUAGCCGGCCUGAGAGGGCGACCGGCCACAUUGGGACUGAGAUACGGCCCAGACUCCUACGGGAGGCAGCAGUGGGGAAUAUUGCACAAUGGGCGGAAGCCUGAUGCAGCAACGCCGCGUGCGGGAUGACGGCCUUCGGGUUGUAAACCGCUUUCAGCAGGGGCGAAGCUUGUGGUGACGGUACCUGCAGAAGAAGCACCGGCUAACUACGUG